rnacentral:rRNA from 1 species
GACGAACGCUUGCGGCGUGCUUAACACAUGCAAGUCGAACGGAAAGGCCCUGCUUUUGUGGGGUGCUCGAGUGGCGAACGGGUGAGUAACACGUGAGUAACCUGCCCUUGACUUUGGGAUAACUUCAGGAAACUGGGGCUAAUACCGGAUAGGAGCUCCUGCUGCAUGGUGGGGGUUGGAAAGUUUCGGCGGUUGGGGAUGGACUCGCGGCUUAUCAGCUUGUUGGUGGGGUAGUGGCUUACCAAGGCUUUGACGGGUAGCCGGCCUGAGAGGGUGACCGGCCACAUUGGGACUGAGAUACGGCCCAGACUCCUACGGGAGGCAGCAGUGGGGAAUAUUGCACAAUGGGCGGAAGCCUGAUGCAGCAACGCCGCGUGCGGGAUGACGGCCUUCGGGUUGUAAACCGCUUUCGCCUGUGACGAAGCGUGAGUGACGGUAAUGGGUAAAGAAGCACCGGCUAACUACGUGCCAGCAGCCGCGGUGAUACGUAGGGUGCGAGCGUUGUCCGGAUUUAUUGGGCGUAAAGGGCUCGUAGGUGGUUGAUCGCGUCGGAAGUGUAAUCUUGGGGCUUAACCCUGAGCGUGCUUUCGAUACGGGUUGACUUGAGGAAGGUAGGGGAGAAUGGAAUUCCUGGUGGAGCGGUGGAAUGCGCAGAUAUCAGGAGGAACACCAGUGGCGAAGGCGGUUCUCUGGGCCUUUCCUGACGCUGAGGAGCGAAAGCGUGGGGAGCGAACAGGCUUAGAUACCCUGGUAGUCCACGCUGUAAACGGUGGGUACUAGGUGUGGGGUCCAUUCCACGGGUUCCGUGCCGUAGCUAACGCUUUAAGUACCCCGCCUGGGGAGUACGGCCGCAAGGCUAAAACUCAAAGGAAUUGACGGGGCCCCGCACAAGCGGCGGAGCAUGCGGAUUAAUUCGAUGCAACGCGUAGAACCUUACCUGGGUUUGACGUGGAUCGGGAGUGCUCAGAGAUGGGUGUGCCUCUUUUGGGGUCGGUUCACAGGUGGUGCAUGGCUGUCGUCAGCUCGUGUCGUGAGAUGUUGGGUUAAGUCCCGCAACGAGCGCAACCCUUGUUCACUGUUGCCAGCACGUUAUGGUGGGGACUCAGUGGAGACCGCCGGGGUCAACUCGGAGGAAGGUGGGGAUGACGUCAAGUCAUCAUGCCCCUUAUGUCCAGGGCUUCACGCAUGCUACAAUGGCUGGUACAGAGAGUGGCGAGCCUGUGAGGGUGAGCGAAUCUCGGAAAGCCGGUCUCAGUUCGGAUUGGGGUCUGCAACUCGACCUCAUGAAGUCGGAGUCGCUAGUAAUCGCAGAUCAGCAACGCUGCGGUGAAUACGUUCCCGGG